ACCGCGUGGGGGAAGAAGGCUCUUGGGUUGUAACUCCUUUUCUCUGGGAAGAACAAAAUGACGGUACCAGAGGAAUCAGCAUCGGCUAACUCCGUGCCAGCAGCCGCGGUAAGACGGAGGAUGCAAGCGUUAUCCGGAAUGAUUGGGCGUAAAGCGUCCGCAGGUGGCAGUUCAAGUCUGCUGUCAAAGACCGGGGCUUAACCUCGGAAAGGCAGUGGAAACUGAACAGCUAGAGUAUGGUAGGGGCAAAGGGAAUUCCUGGUGUAGCGGUGAAAUGCGUAGAGAUCAGGAAGAACAUCGGUGGCGAAGGCGCUUUGCUGGACCAUAACUGACACUCAGGGACGAAAGCUAGGGGAGCGAAUGGGAUUAGAUACCCCAGUAGUC
rnacentral:rRNA from 1 species